GGGGCGGGAGCGAGGGGCACCUGCCAGGCUAGGGGGAGAAGAGGGCUGUGGGUCAAGAGUGAGGAGCACUAGCAGGGCUGUCGCUUAGGAGUGAGGGGCAGGGCAUAUAAUUGCCCCCCCUCCCAUAAUCAUAUAUUUCUCCCCUCCCUCUCUGCCCCCCACCCCUUUUUUUGGUACUGGAAAUAUGCCCCCGACCAUGCAGCUGCCCCGGCAGAUGACCUCCCGCCCCAGAGACCUGGCGCUAGAGCUCCCGCUGCCAACAGGGCAAGGGGCUGUGGGACGUUGGCACCGCAAUGCUGGCUGGGCCCCAGUGCCUGGCAGGGAGCAUGUUCUGGAGCUGGGCAUGGUGGUGCGGGAGCAGGUCCUGGGACUCCUGGCCCAGGAAAUGCAGGGCUGGGGGUGGGCAGUGCAGUAUGGAGGCUUGUGCUGGUGCCACGCCUGGCCCCGGGGGUGUCAGCUGCAGCAGGCAGCGGGCAAGAAGCCCCAGGACAGAGUGUGUACCCCUGCAUGCUGCUGUCCCCAUCUCUGUACAUCUGGGGGCUGUUCUCUCCCAGCUCCCAGUGAUGCAUGGCUCUUGUCCCCAGGUCACAAGGAGCGUGAAGGUGGUUGAGAUGUCCUCCAAAAGGUGCAGCCCAGGAGGGCACUGCAGGGACCCGAGUCCUGGCUGAAGCAGCCAAAGGCCUAUGGUACAGACAUGGCUCUGAAGGAGGGAGGAUAGAAGGGCACCCCAGGGGCUCAGGACAAGCUACCUCGUGUCCCCGAAGAGGAGCCCCUGCCUGAGCAGGAGCCAGUUUCAUCUCUGGUGCCCUGAGUGUCACAGGGCCUGAGACUCAGCACAGAGCCCAUGUGCAGGUAAUGCCAAGGCCUUUAUCCCAUUGCACACUCCAGUGACGUGGAGACCACCUGGGACUCAUCUGUAGAAGACACCUUCAUGGGCUCAUUCCCUGCCCCAGACCUUUCCCUGGAAGCAGGCAGGAAGCACAGCCCUGCUUCCUUCCUGAGUGAGAGCGCCACCAUGCUAAGUCCUUCCCUCCCAGAACAUUUCUUCGAAGGAUGAGGGGUGAAACCUGUUGACUUUUUCUACCAAAACAAACAAACAAACAAACAAACAAACAAACAAACAAAAAACAGCCCUUGUGUGAAUUACAGAAGCAGGCAGGCUAAUGCAAGCCUGGGCUCCCCAUGCCUGCUGACCUGGAACCACCACAGACUUCCCCUGUGAGUUUGGGUGAGAUGGACUCCCUGAGAUCCGAGAGGGACUAACAGCACCAGAGUGAGGGGAAGCCCCAGAAGGAGAAUGUAGCAGUGGACCUGGUAACAUCUCCAGUUGGGCACGAGCAUGGAAAAGGGCCAGAAGCCAGAAAGAGCCCUGGGUGCAAGGAAGAAUUUGUGGAGUUGAGAGACCUGAAUACCCACAAGGCAAAGUUCAAGUGGAGAGACUGGCAUCCAAAUCAAGGCAGUGAGGAGGGCUUCACAAGGAAGCAGGAGUUUGCUGCCAAGCCCCAGGAGAGAGCCCAGCCUUGCCCUGAGCGCAAAAAAAAAAGUCCUGCUCCUCACUCCUGGCUUUGCACAAGAUAACACAGGCUGGAAAAAAAGCCCCACGUAUGCACUGAAUGUGUGAAGAGCUUCUGCCUCUCAACCCCGACUGCUCAUCACAAGGUUCAUUCUAGAGAACCCCCUUGCUGCUUCAGCAAGUGUGGGAAGAGUUUUGGGUGCAGCUUGGGCCUGGUCAAGCAUCAACCUGUUCAGAGAAGGAAUACAGCAGUAUUGACACUUCUGUGUGGUAAGACCUUCUGCCAUUUCUCCUCGAUGGCUCAGCACCGGCCCAUCCACUUGGGGAGGAAGACACACCACUGCACCAAGUGCAAUUAGAGCUUUGCCAGCCAGCAGGACCUGUCCCAGCACCAGUGUGUGCAGAGUGGGCAGCAGUGAUAACACUGCACUAAGUGUGGAAAGAGCUUCAGGCAGCUCCAACCUGGUCAGGCACAGGCAUAUGCACACAGGGGAGAAGCCACAUCAGUACUCCGUGUGGGAAGAGCUUUACCUACCCUUCCUGCUUGGCCCAGCACCAGCAUGUCCACACAGGAGAAGCCGUAUCAGUGCUGUGUAUGUGAGAAGAGCUUCAUCUGAUCCAGUCAGCUGGUCCAGCAUCAGUGUCCUUGCAGGAGAGAGGCACAUCUGUGCUCGGUGUGUGGGAAGAGCUUUGCCUACCAUUCCCACUUGGCCCAGCACCAGCAUUUCCACCUGAGGGAGAAGCCACAUCAGUGCUCUGAGUGUGGGAAAAGGUUCCCCAUCUCAUCCAUCUUGGUCCACCACCACCAAAGUCACACAGAAGAAAAGCCACAUCAGUGCUGUGUGUGCAAGAAGAGCUUCAGGUACUCUUCCAACCUAGCCCAGCACCAGCACAUCCACAGCCAGGAGCAACCAUAAUUCUGCCAGCAGUGCAGGAAGGGCUUGUGCGCGUCUACCUGCUCAGUACCCUCUGGUGGCUGCAUUCAGGCAAGCAGCCUCAUGCUGGUGGAGUGCAGAAAGAGGUCACCCAGCCUUCGGCCCUUGUAGGGCACUGCAGAACCCUAAUGACUCAGAGGCUGGCCCCCAAGUUUUGCCAGGUGAGGAGGGGCUCAGAGGAAACACCUCAAGCAGAUGCCAGCACAGAUGCUGGGGGAACCUGCGAGGAGAUGAUCUUUGUGUCAGCCUUGGAGCCUGUGACUUCCCGAUCAUUCUGUAAAAACAGCUAGUGCUCCCAGGGGGAGAAGUGCCUUCACAAUAGGGUGCCCUUCCCAAGACAGCUGGCUCCAGAUGACACCCAAAGACUGGCCUUGGCUUCAUCCUCCCUCCUAGUCCUAAGGUUCCUUGUAACAGGUUGCCUUACCCAGUGCCAUCUUCUCUGUUAUCGGUGCCCUAUGUGGGGCACCCCUGGAAUCCCCUUUAAAGUUUUUUGUGUCCCACUCUCUACUCACCUGCCAUGUCUUGAUGGAAAAUUGUUAUACUGAUGUUCUUGUAAGCGGGAGACUGCCUAUUAUAUUUUGUAUAUUGGGGUGUCACAGAGCACUGAGGUGCCCUGCUCCUAAGGAGGAGAAACUGCUAGGGAAGGGACCCUAGCAGUGAGUGAAUAAGGAACCCAGCUGUGGUUUGCCAGGGCAACCAGGGAAGGUCAGCUGACCGGAAGGGGCAGGGCUUGGCCCUUAUAAAGCCCAGGGGCUGAGGCUAGGCUAGCAAUUCCCUGCCAGCUGCCAAAGAGGAAGGAGCUCACUCAUAGAAGGGAUGGAGUAUUUCCUGGUAGGCUUAAGCAUUGUUAUGGCCAGGCAGCUUCUGUUUAAGUUAUAGCCGAUUGGCUUGUAUUUUGUGUUGCUGUUUAUGACUGGUGGUUUGGGUGAGGCUGUUAGGGGUUGGAGGAGGCCUCAUAGGGGACCCACAGCAGCCUGGGGACCCCAGUGCCAGUAGGGGUGCUGCGUACAGGGUGCAUAGACCCCAGCCCCAGAGAGGGGCAGUUGAGAAGCCCUAGUGCGGACAUGGCGAGCCCCGGAGAGAGGGGGCGGCUUUACAGGGGAGCCCCGGAGAGAGGGGGCGGUGCAAUAGUGAAGGCCCUGUGAGAGGGCGGCACUAUAGAGAAGGCCCCAGAGGAGGGCAGCAAAACUGAAGAGGGGCAGCAUUGUGGAGAAGGCCAGAGAGAGGGUGCGGAGAGAGACAGGGCCACGGAGGGCCCAAGUGCCAAAAGAGAUUGUAGACCUGGACAGAAUAGUGUCCAUUCCAGCUGCGAGGCUUGAGGCGUGGUGAAAGGGGUGGUUGGAGCCGCACAUAGCCCUAAGGCUAGGGUGCCCCAGAAGCACCCAUUUGUAGAGUGGGACCCACAAGGGGUCUGGGAGUCCACAGGGCAGAGACUACAGCAAGACGUGCCCAAGAGGGCAGAAAAAGCAGCCUCCCUAACAUAUUUCAACAUCAAAGAUGUGGCAGGCAAGAAACUGAGGGUGCCCUUGGGCCAACUUGGCACGGGAAGGGGCCUUGAGGAGACCACGGCCCUCCUGUAGGACCCUGCCUGUGACAUGGGGUCUUCCACCUCCACAGGCCUUGACCCCUUGCCUUUCUCUAGCUAGUCUUCCCUGUCUUUCCCCACCAAACAGGGUUCAACUCUGAGGCUCUAGCCCUUUUCCUUGUCUUGAGGCUCGUGGCCCUCACUUCUGCUCCACUCUGGAGCUUGGCCCGGAGACCUGGCCCCUGGCCCCACAGCCAGGGGUAACUGCAAGUUCAAGGCUGGGGAACAACCCUGAACCCACACCAUCCCAGUUCACAAAACCCCCCACCAAAACUGUACCUUAGGAGCACUAGACCACCCCUUUUAGGAUUGUGCCCUCUGGUGCCAGGGUCUGUACCCCCCCAAAAUCCUGCACCCACACUGGUGCCAGGGCCUAUAUACCCCAGAUACUGCACCGUCUCUGGAACUAGGGUCAGUAGACUCCAGAUCCUGCACCCACACAGGUCCCCACAGUGGCCACACUGGCCCCCACAGUGUAGUGGGGUCCCAGUGAGGCCUCCUCCCUCCCCACUAGCCUCACCCAAACCAGCAGUGUUCUUCAAAAAUAAAUAAAUAAAAACCAUAAGCAGUAUGUCCACAAGCUAUAACUGCCACCAAAAAAAUAUGAUCAAAUAAGGCAGCAUGCCAAUUUACGUUUACUCAGGGGUCGUGCUUCUGCUUCCCACCACCAGCUACCAUCUUUCCUCUGGGGUUGCAGCUGAUUCUCCAGGUUCCUCAGUAGCUCCUUCAGCCUUUGGACUGCUCACCCAGCCUCCCCCAUAAAGCUCUCACACACUCCUUCUCCCUUGGCUGCCAGGCCCCCACUGCUACCCAGCCCAGGGUUUUUAUAGUCCUGGCCUGCCCCCUUCCGGUCACCUGACCAGCUGGCCUGGCUCAACUUUUAACCCCUACCUUACUAGUGCACUGUGCCCAGAAAUUCCUGAUCUUAAAGGGGCCAACCUGUCUUCUGGUAACAGGGCCAUGGUUCCCUGUUACAUUCCUGUAUGUGAGGUUCUUGUGGAGCAGCAAGGAGGACAUUUAUGGCGGGGGAUGUAUUCCCAGCUCUCCAUCCUGACUUCAUUCUUCGUCACCACCACAUAACCCCUCUCCACCGCUGGGUGCCUGCAGCUCCCCCUCCCCUUCAUUGCAUUCACUAUAAUGCAGCCUCUGCUAAUAAAACCCAGAACAGAAUAUGGUA